CAAUGGAGGUUAAACGUUGGUCAUAGUCAAGGCUGUUGAGUUACGAGUGUUUUUGAAUCAAAUCGGAUUUAUGAUUAUAUUAUAUGUGAAUAAUUGAAAAUAUUGAAUUUGUAUUAAAUCAGCAUGAAAUAUAUUUUUGCAGCAUUGUUCUUGAAAAUUAUAUAAUAUCUAAAAUAUCUGGUAGAGAUACUUAUUACUUACUGGGCU
rnacentral:lncRNA from 1 species